GACGAACGCUGGCGGCGUGCUUAACACAUGCAAGUCGAACGGAAAGGCCCUUCUGUUGUGGGGUGCUCGAGUAGCGAACGGGUGAGUAACACGUUAGUAACCUGCCCUUGACUUGGGGAUAACUUCAGGUAACGGGUGCUAAUACAGGAUAGGAGCUCUUGCUGCAUGGUGUGGGUUGGAAAGUGUCGACGGUGUGGGAAGGAAUCGCGGCUUAUCAGCUUGUUGGUAGGGUAGUGGCUUACCAAGUCAUUGGCGCGAAUCCGGCCUGAGAGGGUGGCCGGACACAUUGGGACUGAGAUGCGGCACAGACUACUAUGGGACGCAGCAGUGGGGAAUAGUACACUAGGGGAGGAAGCAUAAUGCAGCAAAGCCACGUGCGGGAAGACGGCCUUCGGGUUGUAAACCGAUUCCGCCUGUGACGAAGAGUGAGUGACGGUACUGGGUAAAGAAGCCCCGGCUAACUACGUG
rnacentral:rRNA from 1 species